UAGGUCAUGUCAUAAGUUCGUGCCGUUUUUCGAGCGGUUAUAUAUGUUAUUUUUUUUAAACACCUAUGAAUCGUUGUCUUAGGUAUUUUUAGAACAUUUGACAUCUCUUGAACCGUCAAACUUCGUGAUUUUUCAACAAGAUCCCGAAUUUUAUCUUUGUCUGUCUGAGGAGGACGCCCGGAACGUUCCUCGUCUUCUAAACAGAAAUUCCCAGCUCUAAAACGUUGGAACCACUUCCUACAGGUGCGAGAUGAAAGCGCAUUUUCUCCGUAAACAGCACAUAUGUUUUUCGUGGCAAUUGUUACAGAACUUCCUUUCCGAAAUUCAUAUAACACGAGAUAUCGAAAAUGGAUACGCGUUUCACUCAUGAUUUUUUACUGUUAGAAGUCGCUGUGUUCGCUAUAUUACGAUCUUAUACCCACGAAAAUCUGCUCUAGCCUGUCCUCGAUCAGCUAAGCUCAAGUGCAUUGGUCCCUUAUCGCCGUAUGUUCAUAAAUCGACACAUGAAAUGUAUACACAAAAGUCGGCACGAACUUAUGGGAUGACCUAAUAUCUGGCAAUUUCGUGCAA